ensembl:lncRNA
CGUAAAUAUUGCCAUGUAUUUCACUACAGAAUGGGCCCAUACACAAAAUAUACCAUCAUGUAAAGCUCAAUAGCAUUUGAAGGGAAUGACUUACAGUCACACAACCAACUGUAAAGUGUUCAUCUAGGUGUCAGAGGACGAGUCUGCGGUUGUUGUCUAAUUUCCACGAUAAUUUGGCGUCUCCUGGGUGGGCUGCACGAGUCUUUUCAGCUUUUCUGGACAACAAGUAAACCAGAGGACGUGCGUGGAAAAGUUGCACCCUGAAGACCGUGUUGACAUGCAGGCUGUUUGCGCUUUAUUGUGCAGCGCGAAAGACCGAUACAGCCUUACCACUGACUGAAGGGAAGACAAAACUGUAAGUCCUACCAAAUUGCUGUAUGUGGAUUCGCCCUCACAGGUAAACUCUUUUAUAUUCUUAAGGUUUGCUCUAUUGAACUUAUAAGUUAUAUGAUUAAUUGAAUAUCUAGACAUUUGGCACACAUUUUGAACCUUUUCUGUCCGUGCAUGAGAAUGCAUAUUCACUUGAUUUUCAUAGUAUGUUAAAUUGAUUAAAACUUUGAAAGUUAUAGAAGGUGUAAAAAGAUAAAUAAAUAAAAUAUGGGAAAAACAUGUAGCAAAUCACAUCCUGAGACACAUGCUAUGGUAUGUACAGGGUGCUCAUCUGUUGAUCCUAAUAUCACAAUUAUGCGUGUGAAUUAUGGGGAAGAAUGUUUGAACCAAUAUGAUGUAUGGGUUAAAGAAUGUGCUUUCCUAGAAAAAGGUAGUUUUAGUCUCAGACAGUUAGAACAACAGAAAUUUAAUUUUGAGACAAAGGAGAGAGAGAGAUUCUUAAAAUAAAAAAAGAGCGAAGUGCAGUUUUUAGCAGACUGGAAGGCAUUUGCUGAAUGGCAGAGUGAGGCACAUAAAAGGGAGAAAAAAUGUCAGGCAGG